rnacentral:rRNA from 1 species
UUAGGAAUUUUGCGCAAUGGGGGAAACCCUGACGCAGCAAUACCGCGUGGGCGAUGAAGGCCUUCGGGUUGUAAAGCCCUUUUAGUUGGGAAGAAAAAAAUGACGGUACCAACAGAAAAAGCACCGGCUAACUCUGUGCCAGCAGCCGCGGUAAUACAGAGGGUGCGAGCGUUAUUCGGAAUUACUGGGCGUAAAGAGAGUGUAGGCGGUUUGAUAAGUCUGAUGUGAAAGCCCUAGGCUUAACCUAGGAAGUGCAUUGGAUACUGUCAGACUAGAGUACGAGAGAGGAAAGCGGAAUUCCUGGUGUAGAGGUGAAAUUCGUAGAUAUCAGGAGGAACAACGGAGGCGAAGGCGGCUUUCUGGAUCGUAACUGACGCUAAGGCUCGAAAGCGUGGGUAGC